rfam:Erythranthe guttata cultivar DTN x IM62 scaffold_60_contig_42, whole genome shotgun sequence.
GAGAGAGAGAGAGAGCUUUCUUUGGUCCAACUAGAGGGGGAGUGGGAUUGAAUCUGCUGCCGAAUCAUUCAUACAAAUGCCGAGUAGAUUAACGAGUUUUCUUACUCGGUAACUGAUUGAAUGCUGCGGGAGUCAAGUUGAAUCUUAUAUUUCCUGUUCUUGGACUGAAGGGAGCUCCCUUUUUUAUCACU